GUCUUCGUGGUGUAGUGGUCAGCACGCUUGACGCGCAUUCGAGAGGUCCGUGGUUCAAGUCCCGGCGAGGGCA
rfam:Stegodyphus mimosarum contig36594, whole genome shotgun sequence.